GAUGAACGCUGGCGGCGUGCCUAAUACAUGCAAGUCGAGCGAACAGACGAGGAGCUUGCUCCUCUGACGUUAGCGGCGGACGGGUGAGUAACACGUGGAUAACCUACCUAUAAGACUGGGAUAACUUCGGGAAACCGGAGCUAAUACCGGAUAAUAUAUUGAACCGCAUGGUUCAAUAGUGAAAGACGGUUUUGCUGUCACUUAUAGAUGGAUCCGCGCCGCAUUAGCUAGUUGGUAAGGUAACGGCUUACCAAGGCAACGAUGCGUAGCCGACCUGAGAGGGUGAUCGGCCACACUGGAACUGAGACACGGUCCAGACUCCUACGGGAGGCAGCAGUAGGGAAUCUUCCGCAAUGGGCGAAAGCCUGACGGAGCAACGCCGCGUGAGCGAUGAAGGUCUUCGGAUCGUAAAACUCUGUUAUUAGGGAAGAACAAAUGUGUAAGUAACUAUGCACGUCUUGACGGCACCUAAUCAGAAAGCCACGGCUAACUACGUG
rnacentral:rRNA from 1 species